AAAAAGAUAAGCUAAUUAAGCUUAUGGAUUCAUAUUCCAUUUAUAGAAGUAAAAUCCUCUUCUUUUUA
rnacentral:tRNA from 1 species